GGGUUCAUGGCCUAAUGGUAAGGCGUCAGAUUACGGUCCACGGCGGCCAGUCCUCUGAAGAUUGCAGGUUCGAUCCCUGCUGAGCUCG